rnacentral:rRNA from 1 species
UACGGAGGGUGCAAGCGUUAUCCGGAUUCACUGGGUUUAAAGGGUGCGUAGGUGGGUAUGUAAGUCAGUGGUGAAAUCCCCAGGCUUAACCUGGGAACUGCCGUUGAUACUAUAUAUCUUGAAUAUCGCGUAGGUAAGCGGAAUAUGUCAUGUAGCGGUGAAAUGCUUAGAUAUGACAUAGAACACCAAUUGCGAAGGCAGCUUACUUCACGAUUAUUGACACUGAGGCACGAAAGCGUGGGGAGCAAACAGG